GGGGUCGUAGCUCAGCUGGGAGAGCGUCGCCUCGGCAUGGCGAAGGUCGCGGGUUCGAAUCCCGCCGACUCCA
rnacentral:tRNA from 1 species